rnacentral:rRNA from 1 species
AUGAGAGCUUUAUGCUGGAACUGUCGGGGGAUUGGCGACCCUGUGGCAGUUCAUGAGCUCCGCGAUCUCGUGGGGGCUAGUGCGCCGUCGGUUCUUUGCAUUGUGGAGACUCAAUUAGCAAAAAAUUGAGUGGAAGGUUUGGCGGUUUCUUUAGGUUUUCAAAACAGUUUUGCAGUAGCCAGUAGUGGUCGUAGUGGUGGUCUAUGUAUUUUUUGGAAGGCGGAUGUUAACUUGGUAAUAAAGAAUUUUUCGUAG